UUGAUCCUGGCUCAGGAUGAACGCUGGCGGUGCGCCUAAUGCAUGCAAGUCGAGCGACGCACUCCGGAGGGGUAACCCACUGGAAUGACGGAGCGGCGAACGGGUGAGUAACACGUGAGCAACCUGCCCCACAGACCGGGACAGCCCAGGGAAACCUGGAUUAAUACCGGAUGCCCUCAGAGGAUCGCAUGAUCCAUUGAGGAAAUGCCUUUGUGCUGUGGGAUGGGCUCGCGACUUAUCAGUUAGUUGGUGGGGUAACGGCCUACCAAGACAAUGACGAGUAGCUGGUCUGAGAGGACGAUCAGCCACACUGGAACUGAGACACGGUCCAGACUCCUACGGGAGGCAGCAGCAGGGAAUCUUGCGCAAUGGGCGAAAGCCUGACGCAGCGACACCGCGUGGGGGAUGAAGGCCUUCGGGUUGUAAACCCCUUUCAGGAGGGAAGAAAUUGACGGUACCUCCACAAGAAGCACCGGCCAACUACGUGCCAGCAGCCGCGGUAAUACGUAGGGUGCGAGCGUUAUCCGGAAUCAUUGGGCGUAAAGAGCUCGUAGGCGGUUCAGCAAGUCGGCUGUGAAAGUCCGAGGCUCAACCUCGGAAUUGCAGUCGAUACUGCUGUGACUCGAGUCCGGUAGAGGAGAAUGGAAUUCCCGGUGUAGCGGUGAAAUGCGCAGAUAUCGGGAGGAACACCAGUAGCGAAGGCGGUUCUCUGGGCCGGCACUGACGCUGAGGAGCGAAAGCGUGGGGAGCAAACAGGAUUAGAUACCCUGGUAGUCCACGCCGUAAACGUUGGAUACUAGGUGUGGCGUCCCGAUCAACGGAUGCCGUGCCGAAGCUAACGCAUUAAGUAUCCCGCCUGGGGGAGUACUGCCGCAAGGCUAAAACUCAAAAGGAAAUGACAGGGUCCCCCCACCAAGCGGGGGGAGCAUUCGGCUUAAUUUUGAUGGGACCCCGAGAAAAAUUUCCCUGGGGUUUGACAUCCCCCGGGAAAAGCUGUUUAAAAAACAAUGUUCCUUUUAAGGGCCCC
rnacentral:rRNA from 1 species